GCGCUCAUAGCUCAGCUGGAUAGAGCACUUGGCUACGAACUAAGGGGUCGGGNGAGCACUUGGCUACGAACUAAGGGGUCGGGAGUUCGAAUCUCUCUGAGCGCACCA
rnacentral:tRNA from 1 species